rnacentral:lncRNA from 1 species
AGGCGCCCGUAUCCAGCCACGGCCGGGAGCCCAGGAGUAUCCCGAGGCUGCACGGGGUCGGAGCGCGCGGCUUGCUAGGCGCGCGGGGCCGGCGCUGUUACCCGGCGUGGAGUCGCCGAUUUUUUUUCCUGCGGGACCGCGGGGCCCCCCAGACUAGCGGAGCUGGACGCCGGGGCGAGCACGGGGAGGGGCGCACCGAGGGAGGAGACAAACUUAACUCUGGGGCCGGGAUUCCGAGGCGGGGGCCGCAGCCCUCGAGGCCCGAAGCCACCGCUUCCUCCCCCGCCUCCCCAUUCAGGUGGGCGCCAACGGCGGGAGCGAGGGUGUCCAGGCCGCCGGGCUGCCAGGUCCGAGCACGCACAGGGAGAACUCUGCCCAGUGGUUCGCCGGGCGCUGUAGUCCCCGGGAUCCUAGGGACCGAGGCGGCCAGGCCCUGGGGCCCCUUGAGUGCGGCAGCUAAUGCUCUCACCGCGGCGGGGGAAGGAGCUUGCCACCGAGACCCCCAGCCACGUGCGUCCCUCGCAUUCUUUACCGGGGCCGGGGUGGCGGCUACGGACCGUCAGCUGGGCCCAGAUGGAGUCUUGGGAGCCCUCAAGUGUCUCCUGUCCUUGCCCGCGCCGCCCCUCGCCACUGGCGCUGAGGCCUGACGCCGCCUGCGUCCCGGCUAGAGGCGCGCUUGCCUACAGGUGAGGGAAGACCCCCUUCACCGACAGUGGCCUUAGGCCUGGCAAGGCGCCACGACCCGCCCAGGAGCCCCGGAGGGGGCACAGCUAAAAACACCGCUGGAGAGCCCCGAGCUUCCACGACGAUCGCAGUAAAGAAGCAGUUUCAUCUGGGCAACGCACACUGCGCUUUAAUCAAGUUCCUAUUCAACAUAGUCCCAGUGAUUAAUAGCCCAACUGCUUCGUUUUCGGUCCAGAGCUCAUAAACAAGAUAUUUUUAGCUUGACGCUUUUGGACGGGAGGGAGUAAAAACCAGAUACGUUAAAUAAAUAUCCCGAUGUGAGCCGGAGAGCUGCUUGCUGAGCCAAAUGCAGGACCCAUUCAUAUAGCAUUCACCUGUGGAGGGAGACCUGGACGGAAAUCAAAAAGCACCAAGAGCGAUUUGCGUUUUUUUCUGCGGUGCUAAAACUAAUGGCUUUUCCUACCUAGGAACAAAGAAACGCCACUGUACAUGCACGGUUCCCGGCCUGUGGAGUUGUGGGAGGAAGGCGAUGUCUGGCCUUUUUUGCACAGCUGCUGUUGCCUGCCCAGAGAUCGGGAACUCUGCCCCGUAGGACUGGAAGAAACCUCAGUAAUGGGAAUAAGACUUUGUCCAAUAGGGGGCUGAUGAAUGUGUGGGGGCGACAAUGGCAAGGAGUGGGACUCCCGGCCCGGGGUUCGCCAACCCCAGGGGCCACAGGUCCUCCUACAAUUGAACCAGAAUUCACCCACCCGGGCCUGCCCUGUGCAGGGUGCCGAGAGCCCAGGGAUGCAUGAGAGGGUGGCUCCUGCCUCUGGGAACUGGGACAGUGGGAGAGACGGAUAAGUUGUCACACAGAGGCUGCUGGGAGGAAGGAGGAGACAGAAGGAGUAGGGGAUGGGACUUCAUUCAUUCAUCAAAUGCACACGAGGCACAAAUGGGAAUCAAGGGUGGAUGUGCUGUGAUGAAGAGAAGUCCUGCCCUGAACAAGGUGGCGCUGUGGAGGAGGCAGAGAUCAGAUUUGUCUGCGGAGGUGUUAUGGACUGAACUGUGUCCCUGCCCCAAAUUCCUAUGUUGAAGGCCUAACCCCCAUGUGACUGUAUUUGGAGAUAAGGCUUUUAGGAAGUCAUUAAAGUGAGAUGAUGUCAUAUGGGUAGGGUCCUAAUUUGAUAGGAUUGGUGGCCUUAUCAGAAGAACAAUGUCAUGGGCAUGCACAGAAAGGAGGUGGCCGUCUGCAAGCAGGGAAGAGGCCCCUCACCAGAACCUGAGGGUGCUGGCAGCUUGGCUUUGGCCUUGGGCAUCCAGCCUCCAGAACCAUGAGAAAUAAAUGUUUAUGGUAGGUCUAUGAUGGCAGCCUGCUUGGACUGAACCGGCGGUGAGACAGGGCUUCAUGCAGGAGCAGACCUUUGAGCUGGGCCUUGAAAGUUGAGCAGGAAUUUGCUGGAAGGAUAAGGGAGGAAGGCUCUUCUAGGAGGAGGGAAUGGUAAGUGCAAAGGUGGAGAGCCUGCCAGUGCAUGUGUUCUGGUAACAAAGAACGAGAUGGUUGGCCGGCUGGAGAGUGGGGUGAGGGAGGGUGGGGCCUAGAUAAGGCUGGAUCCGCAGACAGGGCUGGGCUGAUGGCCAAGGCCACUGCAGGUGAAGGGGGAACCCUUAUCUCCCAGGCUUUUGACCUCCAGAUUUUAGCAGGGGAGCUUCGUUGUCGGAUUUGGGUUCCUGAGAAUCUACUCUGGCCAAGACGGAGAGGGGGUGUUGACCAGAUGGGAAAGGAUGGAGACUUGUAUUGCCCCAGUAAUGAGCGGGCAGGGUAGAUUAGAACAAGAUGUCAGGACUUGGGGGCUGAAUGCCAGGCUUCUGGCUGGGAUUACCACCCCCUGACACAUAUAAUGCCCAGGAAAUUGGAGGCCCCUCUCCAAGCCCCCAGGAGGCCACUGGGGACUCAUUCCAGGAUACUCACCUGCCUGCUUUGUGGUUUUGGAGGGGAAGACCUUGGAGCAGUUGCGAAGAUCCAUCUACCAUGUUCUGGUUUUUCCUUGGAAGCCUAAAAGUGUACCUCGGGAUGAGGAGGAAAUGGUUUUGAGGGCAAGUGGUAGGUCUCUGGCUAGGCCUGGCGGGGUUCUCAGAGGACAGGGGGUGUCUAGGGCCCUAGAUAGAAGUGUCCUGCCCAAGCCCUAAAGCAGGAAAUUAGCUGGGGAGUUGGGGUGAGACCCUGGGGUCGAUGGAGGCACUUUCCAUGGGAGAGUCCCACAGGGUAAGGGAGAGGGGGCUGAUGUCUGACAGUCUCAUAGACAGUUGGCUUGUGGCUGGAGAAGUGGGAGCAAAGGAGAAAUCACCUUUGAUUGGGAGAAGUGGCUCUGGCUCAUGUGCAACUGAGACAAAGCCAGUCCUAAGAGCAGCUUGUAAAUUCUUCUGUGACCACCUUUAAGGUCCUUCUUCCUGAGGCUGUGGAUGGGGGUGUACACAGGCCCAGUGUGGGGGGUUGAGCGUGAGUCCCCGGGAAACGGUGGUCCUGAGUUUUGGAUGCUCCAGGAUGAAGCCUGAUUCUGGAGUCAAUCACAGCACUAACCAUUUUGAGAAGACAAACAGAGCCCUAGAAAUGUUUUAUUUUACUUUGGUUUAACCUUCCUAAUGCAAGGCCCACGAGAGAAUUAGUACGUAAGUUUGGAAAUCAAUCAAAUUCUGAAGAGCAAAAACGGAACUAACCCUUCUGAUGUAGUUUUCUGACUUUAUCUGAAGCUGAAAUGUGUGUGUAAGAUUGGUCGCUCCAAACAGGACCAAUUCAGAUAAGAUAAAAGUCCAGAACUAUGAUUUCAGGCUCAGCUGAGCUCUGGCUAGGGGUACAAGUAUCUAAUAUGGUAUAGCUAAUAAUGUCUCAAUCAUUCAAUAAGAUACUCUCAAAGGCCUUCCUCCAACUAGACAAACAAAACAAAAUAAAAACACUAGUUACUUUUUGUUACAAAUGGAUUCAUAAACGGUUUUAUACUGAUUCAUUUUAGGCUUUAGAUCUUGACAUGUAAAGCAUAUGAACUCAACGCAUAAUCAACCCAAAGUCCAGUGUUUCUUUUUCUUUCUUCUUUUUUUUUUCGAGACAGGGUCUCACUCUGUUGCCCAGGCUGGAGAGCAGUGGUUGGAUCUCAGCUCAAUGCAACCUCCGCCUCCCAGGCUCAAGUGAUCCUCCCACAUCGGCCUCCUGGGUAGCUGGGACUACAGGCAUGCACCACCAUGCCUGGCUAAUUUUUUGUAUAGAUGGGGUUUCACCACGCAGCCCAGGCUGGUCUCGAACUCCUGAGCUCAAGUGAUCCUCCCACCUCGGCUUUCCAAAGUGCUGGGAUUUACAGGUGUAAGCCACUGUGUCCGGCCUAGUGUUUUUUAUCCACAGGCGCCCAGCUCUACCCAUGAGAUUACUUAUCCUGUCUCCCCAGGAGGCAGGUGGUGUAGGGAGCUGCUGGGAGGAUUAGGGAGAAUGUUGUGCCAAGGCCAGUUCCUGGCAUGCAGGACACACUUGCUCAGUAAAUAAGAGCUUGGCAUACGCUUCCCUACUCUCCUUGUCUCUCCAUAAGUGCACUUUUGAGGUUCUAGUUUCCCCCAAAACUUUGAAUAUUAAGCAACUCAUUUCUUUUUUUCUUUUUCUUUUCUUUUCCCUUCCUUCCUUCCUUCCUUCCCUCCCUCCCUUCUUUCUUUUCUUUCUCUCUCUCUCUCUCUUUCUUUCUUUCUUUUCUUUCUUUCUUUCCUUCCUUCCUUCCUUCCUUCUUUUUUUUCUUUCUGACAUGGGGUCUUGCUGUGUCACCCAGGCUACAGUACAGUCAUGCAAUCUCAGAUCACUGCAACCUCUGUCUCCCAGGUUCAAGCGAUUCUCCAACCUCAGCCUCUGGAGUAGCUGGGACUACAGGCAUGCACCACCAUGCUCGGCUAACUUUUGUAUUUUUCGUAGAGACAGGGUUUCACCAUGUUGGCCAGGCUGGUCUCAAACUCCUGACCUCAGGUGAUCUGCCUGCCUCGGCCUCCCAAAAUGCUGGGAUUACAGGUGUGAGCCACCACACCAGGCCUAAGCAACUCAUUUCAACACAUAGUUAUGGAAUAUUCUGGCAGUGUAUUAGGCUGAGGUUCUCUGUGUGUUCUGCGGAAAAGUACCUAGAAGGCAUGGUACUCUAUGCAGAACGUUCCAAGGCAUAACAAAUUCUGUCUUCAUAAGGUAGAGAUCAUUUAACCAUUAGGAAGUGUAACUAUAUUGUAUGUAUACCACAUAAAAUCACAACCAUAAGUACUCAAGUCUAUAACGAGUCCAUACUGUCAAAUUCACAAAAAUCAGCUGUUUCCAGUUUUCUCUCUCUCUCUCUCUGUCCUGUCUUUUUUUAUUUUUUUUUGAGAUGGACUCUUCCUCUGUCACCCAGGCUGGAGUGCAGUGGCAUGAUCUCGGCUCACUGCAACCUCUGCCUCCCCGGUUCAAGCAAUUCUCCUGCCUCAGCCUUUCAAGUAGCUGAGAUUACAGGUGAGUGCCACCAUGCCUGGCUAAUUUUUGUAUUUUUAGUAGAGACGGGGUUUCACCAUGUUGGCCAGGCUGGUCUUGAACUCCUGACCUCAGGUGAUUCACCAGCCUCAGCCUCCCAAAGUGCUGGGAUUACAGGCGUGAGCCACCGUGCCCAACCUCCAGUUUUUUCUUAAUAUUCAUCUACUAUACCAUGUGUGUGAUUUCUUUUGUCAUUUUUCAUGUUUAUAAUAUAGUUAGGCUUUGUGUCCCUGCCCAAAUGUCAUCUUGAAUUAUAAUCCCUGUAUUCCCCACAAUCCCCAUGUGUCAAGGGAGAGACCAGGUAGAGGUAAUUGAUUCAUGGGGGCAGUUUCCCCCCAACGUUGUUCUCAUGAUAGUGAGUUCUCAUGAGAUCUCAUGGUUUCAUAAGGGGCUCUUCCCUCUUCUCUCGGCACUUCUCCUUCCUGCCGCCUUGUGAAGAAGGUGCCUUUCUUCCCCUUCAUCUUCUGCCAUGAUUGUAAGUUUCCUGAGGCCUCCCCAGCCAUGCUGAACUGUGAGUCAAUUAAACCUCUUUUCUUAAAUUACCCAGUCUCAGGCAGUUCUUUACAGCAGUAUGAGAAAGGACUAAUACAGUUUGUUGAUUUUAUUUGCUUGCAACUGCUAGCAGGUAAGCAGUAGCUGGCACCAAACAUUCUAGAAAAAGAAAAUUGAGUCAAAAUUUAAAAAUCAGGGCUGGGCACACUAGUUCAUGCCUGUAAUGGCAGCACUUUGGGAGGCCAAAGUGGGAGGAUGGCUGAGGCAGGAGAAUUGCUUGAACCUUGGCGUUUGAGGCUGAGGUGAGCUAUGAUGGCACCACUGCACUCCAUCCUGGGUGAUAAAGCAAGAUCCUGUCUCUAAGAAAAUAAUUAAAAAAAAAAUAAACAUUCAGAAAAUUCUAUCUAGUAAUUUUGUUGAGCAAAUUGGGAAAAGCCCUUCAUUCUAUUUUGGUGGAAAACUUCUUUGGUAAAUGAUGGGUCCCCAAACUCUGCAUCUAGCAUUUGGGGAGCACUGCAGAAGGCAAGCAUUGGAUGUGGCAGGUCGCCCAUGCUUCUGUGAGAUCCGAGACAAGAGUACAAAUGGCAGCCCCCAUAGCAUCUGUUUAAAUAUGAAAAGUUACCAAUCAAACUGAGAAACCGUUAGAGAAAAUAUGUUCUACCUUCUUGUCUUAACACAUACAUCUUUAUCAUGUCCUAGAAGACCGGAUAGAAUCUGGUUUGGGAACAUGGUGGUGUGGGGAUACCCAGCCAUACCAAUUCUCUUCCCAUCCCAUCCUCUAUUCCAUUCCCCGCCAGAAAGGUCCUGAGUCAGGGGUGUGGAUUCCCAACACAGGGCACAAAUGCCGCCUGUGCCCCUUGAAAAAUGCCACACCUUCUUCCUUCCCACAUCCUGGGGCUUGGGGGCCUGGUGAAGAGGACCACGCAGGUCCAGGCAGCUGGCCCUGGGCUGCUAGGGCAGGAAACUCCUUCGCCCGUGGGCAGGAGCAGCCAGAGCGGGACUAGCGGGCGCCCUCUCCUGUGAGGGUCCAGCACAGGGGCCCUCCUGCCUGAGUCUAAGGGUGGGACUAGGCCGGCACUCACAGGGCAAGCAGGAGAGCAGGGACCCCACUGGUCCUCGCCUUGUCUGGGGGCCCCUGGCCCUGCUUCUGUAGGAGGACACGACAGUUGGCAAUAAUUCCACACCUGUGUCCCCAGUUCUUCCCUUCCCUCCACCUCACCAUUCACAUCCUGCUUCUUCCCUUCCCUCCACCUCACCAUGCACAUCCUGCUUCCAGCCCCGGGGCUUUCUCACCUGGACCACUGCACCAGCCUCUGACUGGCCUCCCUGUGGCUUUCCCUGCUGCCAUGCCCCCCACUCUCUCCACAAAGUAGCCCGAGUUAUCCCUUAAACAUGCACUCAGCCUGUAAUCCCAGUGCUUUGGGAGGCUGAGGUAGGAGGAUCACUCGGGGCCACGAGUUGGAGACCAGCCUUGGCAACAUAGCAAGACCUCCCUCUCUACAAAAAAAAGUUUUUUUAAAAAAACAAAGUGAAACAUGCACUCAGAUCACACCACUCACCAACUUAAACCCUCCUGUCACCACCCAUUGCGCAUGGGAGAAAACCCGUGUACAUCCAGCUGGCCACAGACCCUGCCUAAAUUGGCACUCGUCUCUGCUCAUGCCCCAUCCGCUCCUUGACUCCCUAGCUGGCUUUGCCAAGCAGAGCGUCUCCCAGCCGCAAGGUGCUGCGCUUUGCACUUUUGGUUCCCUGGAAUGCUCUUCCCAGGUUGGCACGACUCCUUCCUUCCUGUCAUUUGAGAAGGGGCUCUCAGGUUCCUCGCAGGGACCUGCUGCACACUCGUCACCCCUCCCCCAUUGUUCCGUAGGCCACUGUGUGUUUUAUUUUCCUCAUAGCACCCUCUAAAAAUGGUAUUUUAUGUGUUCCUUAUCAGCUUCUCCCCACUAGAGUGCCAACUCCACAAACGCAGGAACCUUGUCUGUCCUGUUCUGCCCAUUCCCAGAGCUAGGGCCAGCCUCAGCCUAUGCGAGAGCCUCAAAUAUUUGUUGAACGAACACAGAUGGAUUUGACUGCAGAAAACUGCUACCCCGCCACCCUCCUGGAACUGAGUCUGUUCCUAAGCCUAGAGUUGUUCAAGGGUGGCCCUGAAGGAUGCUGGAGAAGACCCGACUGACCCCCGGGUCAGGGAUCACUACAUCUGACUCAGUCCGGAGCUUCCUGAAGCAGUUUCAGGCAAGGCUGCCAGGGCCUGGAGGACCUGCUCAGUGCCUUUAGGGUAACUCCAAAGAGGCCACUGACAGGCAGUUAUGGCCCCCAGGGGCUUGGCUAAGCAAGAAGAACCUUUGUAGGGAGGAAAAUGGGGCCUUUUUUCGGGGUAGCUGCAGUCCAGCCAGGACACAAGGCUUUGUGAGCAGAGGUCACCUGAGUUGGGCCCUACCUGAAGCGCCCCCUCCACCAUGGCUCCAGAGCUCCCCCUACCUGUAGGGCACUGCCAGGAGGGGCGCCCAGGGAAGCAUGGACAUGGCUGAGUAUCAGACCCACCUAGGGAAAUGGGCCUGUCUCCCAGCUGGCUCAUAGGGGCCACAGGGACUGCUCUAUCCUGCCGACUUGGCAGGCCCCACUGCUCCAGAGAUAGGGUGGAGUCCUUGGAGCCCAUUCUUGUGCACCCACCGUUCUGACCCCAUUUCUUCUCUUUGCUGAAUUCCAAGGAUUUGUGCCUCAAGAGGCAUCUUUUAAAAAAAUUUUAGCUUGAUGCCUCAGCUCACACCUGUAAUCUCAGCACUUUGGGAGGCCAAGGUGAGAGGAUCUCUUGAGGCCAGAGUUUGAGACUAGCCUGGGCAACAUAGUGAAACUUCGUCUCUACGAAAAAUUUUAAAAAUUAACUAGGUGGGGCCAGGCGCGGUGGCUCAAGCCUGUAAUCCCAGCACUUUGGAAGGCUGAGGUGGGCAGAUCACCUGAGGUCAGGAGUUUGAGACCAGCCUGGCUAACAUGGUGAAAUCCUAUCUUUACUAAAAAUACAAAAAUUAGCCAGGUGUGGUGGCGGGCACCUGUAAUCCCAGCUACUCAGGAGGCUGAGGCAGGAGAUUCGCUUGAACCCGGGAGGUGGAGGUUGCAGUGAGCUGAGAUGGCGCCACUGCACUCUGGCCUGGGUAACAGAGUGAGACACUGUCUAAAAAAAAAAAAUUAGCCAGGUGUGACGGUGCAUGCCUGUAGUCCCAGCUACUCAGGAGGCUAAGACAGAGGAUUAUCUGAGCCCAGGAAGUCGCGGUUACAGUGAGCUAUGAUUGUGCCACUGCACUCUAACUUGGGUGACAGAGCAAGACUUUGUCUCUAAAAUUAAAAAAAAAAAAUCCUAAUAAGGUGAGAAGCCAAAUCUUUUGAAAAAUCAAAAUAAGAGUGUCUAGGGGCUGACUGCAUGACAGCCCCAGUUCCAGCCUUUUUUCCUUGUGAUUCUACUCAGCUGCCUCAAGUCUAAGCCCCUCAACACUGUGUAAAGUAGCCCCAAAGUGCAGACAAUGAAGCUACGGGAGGAACGAGCUGCACACAGUGGGCUACUUGGAACAUUUCCAAAGGCUGCAUCUGCUCUAGCACAGUAGUUGGAACUCGAUUUUUCCCAAAGGAAGCUAGUAUCAGGUCCUGCUGUGGCCUGUGGAAACACACUGUCAACUUACAGGUUAAGAAACCGAAUUUUAGAGUGUAAAUUAGUUCAACCGUUGAACUAAUGGUUCACAUUGAAAGCAGUGUGGCAAUUCCUCAAAGAGUUAAAAGCAGAACUACCAUUUGGACCAGCAAUCCCGUUACUAAGUAUAUACCCAGAGGAAUUAAAGCAUUCUAUCAUAAAGACACAUGCAUGCGAAUGUUCACUGCAGCACUAUUCACAAUAGCAAAGACAUGGAAUCAACCUAAAUGCCCAUCAAUGACAGGCUGGAUAAACAAAAUGUGGUACGUAUAUACCGUGGAAUACUAUGCAGCCAUGAAAAAGAAUGAGAUUCUGUCUUUUACAGGGGCUGUUAUCCUUAGCAAACUAACACAAGGACAGAAAACCAUGUUCUCACUUAUAAAUGGGAGCUAAAUGAUGAGAACUCAUGAGCACAAAGAAGGGAACAUCAGAAACUGGGGUUUACUUGAAGGUGGGGGGUGGGAGGAGGGAGAGGAACAGAAAAUAUAAGCUUUGGGUACUGGGCUUAAUACCGGGUGAUGAAAUAUCUGGACACCAAACCCCUGUGACACGAGUUUACCUAUGUAACAAACCACAUGUACCCC